AACUUUUGGCAAUGGAUCUCUUGGCUCUUGCAACGAUGAAGAACGCAGUGAAAUGCGAUAAGUAAUGUGAAUUGCAGAAUUCAGUGAAUCAUCGAAUCUUUGAACGCACCUUGCACCCAUUGGUAUUCCAAAGGGUAUGCUCGUUUGAGUGUCAUUGUACUCUCACACUCUAAUUAAAUUUGGAGACGUGGACUUGGGUGUUGCUGCUUUGCUGUGGCUCAUCUUAAAUAUGCUAGUGCAACUCAUGGUUGGAUAUAGUACAGCGUGAUAAGUAUCUUCGCUGGCACCUCCUCAAGAGGGUAUCUGAUUGGGAGCUCUGUGCUUCAAACUGUCCCAUCUGGGACGAUCUCUGACAACUUGGCCUCAAAUCGAGUAGGACUACCCGCUGAACUUAAGCAUAUCAAUAAGCGGAGGCU
rnacentral:misc_RNA from 1 species